rnacentral:rRNA from 1 species
AUGGCCGACGAGGCGAAGGCCAAAGGUAAUGCGGCCUUCUCGGCCGGCCGCUUCGAGGAGGCGGCGGGGCACUUCUCCGACGCCAUCGCGCUCGCCCCCGCCAACCACGUGCUCUACUCCAACCGCUCGGCGGCGCUCGCCUCGAUCCACCGCUACUCCGACGCGCUCGCCGACGCCGAGAAGACCGUCGAGCUCAAGCCCGACUGGGCCAAGGGCUACUCGCGCCUCGGCGCCGCCCACCUCGGCCUCGGCGACGCCGCCAGCGCCGCCGCCGCCUACGAGAAGGGCCUCGCCCUCGAUCCCAGCAACGAGGGCCUCAAGGCCGGCCUCGCUGAUGCCAAGAAGGCCGCGGCCGCCCCGCCGCGCCGCGCGCCGUCUGGCGGCGCCGACGCCAUCGGCCAGAUGUUCCAGGGCCCCGAGCUCUGGACCAAGAUCGCCUCCGACCCCGCUACGCGCGCCUACCUCGACCAGCCGGACUUCAUGCAGAUGCUGCGGGAGGUGCAGAGGAAUCCCAGCAGCCUCAACACGUACCUAUCCGACCCGCGCAUGAUGCAGGUGCUCAGCCUCAUGCUUAACAUCAAGAUCCAGACGCCCCAGGACUCCGAUUUCCCGCAGUCUUCCUCGCCGCCGCAGCAGCAGAAGCAGCAACCCGAGACAAAGGCGAGGGAGAUGGAGCCUGAGCCACAACCGGAGCCGAUGGAGGUGUCUGACGAGGAGAAGGAGCGGAAGGAGAGGAAAGCUGCUGCCCAGAAGGAGAAGGAGGCAGGGAAUGCAUCCUACAAGAAGAAGGACUUCGAGACGGCGAUCCAGCAUUACACAAAGGCCUUGGAACUUGAUGACGAGGACAUCUCCUACCUCACUAACCGAGCAGCGGUGUACAUCGAAAUGGGCAAGUACGAUGAGUGCAUUGAGGACUGUGAUAAGGCUGUGGAGAGGGGAAGAGAACUUCGUGCUGAUUUCAAGAUGGUUGCAAGGGCACUAACAAGAAAAGGAACUGCUCUGGCCAAACUCGCUAAGAACUCCAAGGACUAUGAUAUUGCCAUUGAGACUUUCCAGAAGGCUCUAACUGAGCAUCGGAAUCCAGACACUCUUAAAAGGCUAAAUGAGGCUGAGAAGGCAAAGAAAGACUUGGAGCAACAAGAGUAUUAUGACCCAAAGUUAGCUGAUGAGGAGAGGGAGAAAGGUAAUGAGAUGUUCAAGCAGCAGAAGUAUCCAGAAGCAAUAAAGCACUACAAUGAGGCUAUCAGGAGGAACCCGAAGGAUGCUAGGGUGUACAGUAAUAGGGCUGCAUGCUACACCAAGUUGGGAGCCAUGCCUGAAGGUCUUAAGGACGCAGAGAAGUGUAUUGAGCUAGACCCAACCUUCACCAAAGGGUAUACAAGAAAAGGUGCAGUUCAGUUUUUCAUGAAGGAAUACGAAAAGGCAAUGGAAACUUACCAGGCUGGGUUGAAGUAUGACCCGAAUAACCAGGAACUGCUUGAUGGUAUCAGGAGGUGUGUUGAGCAGAUCAACAAGGCUAACAGGGGUGACAUAAGUCAGGAAGAUUUGCAGGAGAAACAGAGUAAAGCUAUGCAGGACCCGGAAAUCCAGAACAUCCUUACCGAUCCUAUCAUGCGACAGGUGUUGAUGGAUUUCCAGGAGAACCCUAGGGCUGCUCAGGAUCAUCUAAAGGACCCUGGAGUGGCACAGAAGAUCCAAAAGCUCAUAAACGCUGGAAUAGUCCAAACGAGAUGA